UGGGGAUUAGUCUAGUGGUAGGACAGCUGACUCUGGAUCAGUAGGCCGAGGUUCGAAUCCUCGAUCCCCAGCCA
rnacentral:tRNA from 1 species